rnacentral:lncRNA from 1 species
UUGACAAUAAAACCCAUUAACAAUCGCGCAAAGGCCGAUCGCUGGUGAUGGCCACGUCGAUCGUUUUUACUGUGCCGAGAUAAAAAAGAAACAAAGUGUGGGAACGGAAAAGCUCAUCGAGCCCCACGCGCCACCUCCACCCAUCAGGAUGUUUCCUUCCCAACGAAGGCAGCUCCGGACAACACGCUUCCUCCCCACGCCGCCAAUCCCAUCUCCGCUCGCCUCCUCCUCUCCCGGGUCCCUUUGCCGCUGGCUCAACCGCUUCUCCUUCUCUUUCUCCUCCCCGCUUCUCUCCUCCUAGCCGAGUCCUCGACUAGACGGGCGUCCGGCGCAUGAGGCUCGGGGUGGUCGUGGCGGCGGCAUCUUCAGAAGUAUCGCCGGACGGGCUCCACACGCCGGGAAGAUAUCUCCAUGGGCCCGCGCCACCUGUCAGCCUCGCCAUAUAAGAGGUCUAGCCCGCCCGUGCCGCCGGUCAAGUUGCACUCGGGGUGGUCAAUCUGUGGAAGAAGACAAGAGAGGAGUGGAGAAGGUCGUGUACAGGGGUAGGAGGCGGGGAUCAGGUAGGAAGACAGCUUGGCCAGACCGGCGACACCCCGGCCGCGGCUUCUGUCGGGCGCCAUCCCCUUCUUCUUACACCUACCCUUGAAUCGAACAGGCAAGAUAGGUGUCCUGAAAUAUGAUAUUUUCUCUAUUGGGCCUUAUCCCUUUCAUUGUUCCCACUAUUCAGGAAGUAGUAUGGAUGUCUUUUGCUUAGCUUGCUUUUCAGAUCAUUCUAUUGGGUUGCAGCUUGUAGGGUGGAACCAUAAUUUGUCAUGGUUGCUUCUAAGUUUUGGUUGGUCGAUUUGCUGAUGUCUUCGGCCUAUGUGUCCAGGUUAAAGUUCAAUCCUGCAUAAUUGUCAGUUUGCGAAGUCUACCCAAAACUCUGAGAUUGCCCAUAAUAGAUGUAAGAAGUGCGUAAUUGCUUGAUGGAUCUGUUAGUUUGACAGUUUUUUUGAGCGUUGCACCUUUCUCUCCUACAAAUUGCAGAUGUGCUCACAGUUUUGUGUGUUCAGUUUAGGAGUUGGUGCUUGGGAAGCACAAAUAAAACAUUAUUGGCAAGUACAGUUUUGUUACUCCCAGGUAUCUACAAUUGAGUAGAUGAAGGAGUAUUUGUUACCAGGAGGAAUUAUAAUGUCUUUCAAACUGAUGUUGUUCUCAUGAUCUUGCCUUUUCAUUGUCUGAUAUCACCCAAAAUUUGGCAUGGAAACUACAGAGGUACUAUGUACUGUUGUUGUAUUAGUUCUGCCGGAUUCAGAGGUGUAUAAAUGUGCAUUAGUUCUUCCGGAU